rnacentral:rRNA from 1 species
GACGAACGCUGGCGGCGUGCUUAACACAUGCAAGUCGAACGGAAAGGCCCUGCUUUUGUGGGGUGCUCGAGUGGCGAACGGGUGAGUAACACGUGAGUAACCUGCCCUUGACUUUGGGAUAACUUCAGGAAACUGGGGCUAAUACCGGAUAGGAGCUCCUGCUGCAUGGUGGGGGUUGGAAAGUUUCGGCGGUUGGGGAUGGACUCGCGGCUUAUCAGCUUGUUGGUGAGGUAGUGGCUUACCAAGGCUUUGACGGGUAGCCGGCCUGAGAGGGUGACCAGCCACAAUGGGACUGAGAUACGGCCCAGACUCCUACGGGAGGCAGCAGUGGGGAAUAUUGCACAAUGGGCGGAAGCCUGAGGCAGCAACGCCGCGUGCGGGAUGACGGCCUUCGGGUUGUAAACCGCUUUCGACUGUGACGAAGCGUGAGUGACGGUAAUGGGCAAAGAAGCACCGGCUAACUACGUG